AUUGAGCGCUGGCGGAAUGCUUUACACAUGCAAGUCGAACGGUAGAGGGGGCAACCCCUCGAGAGUGGCGAACGGGUGAGUAACAUAUCGGAACGUGCCCAGUCGUGGGGGAUAACGUAGCGAAAGUUACGCUAAUACCGCAUACGAUCUAAGGAUGAAAGCGGGGGAUCGCAAGACCUCGCGCGAUUGGAGCGGCCGAUAUCAGAUUAGGUAGUUGGUGGGGUAAAGGCUCACCAAGCCAACGAUCUGUAGCUGGUCUGAGAGGACGACCAGCCACACUGGAACUGAGACACGGUCCAGACUCCUACGGGAGGCAGCAGUGGGGAAUUUUGGACAAUGGACGCAAGUCUGAUCCAGUCAUUCCGCGUGCAGGAUGAAGGCCCUCGGGUUGUAAACUGCUUUUGUACGGAACGAAAAGGUCUCUCUUAAUACGGGGGGCUCAUGACGGUACCGUAAGAAUAAGCACCGGCUAACUACGUGCCAGCCGCCGCAGUAA
rnacentral:rRNA from 1 species